AAGUAAGAAGCAAAAUUUGCAUUUAAUUUCGACUUAAAAUCUUGGUAUACAUAUAUCCUUACUUU
rnacentral:tRNA from 1 species